CGGCCGAGCUGUCAGGCUGGCCGCAGGACCAGUGGCCGAUGCGCCUGGUCCCGCUGCUCUCCGGGGAGUCCCAGAUAGCGGCACAGCAGCUUCCGGUCCAGAAUCUCCUGGUCUUUGACGACCUGAAGAGGGCCAUCCUCCAGCGGGUCGGCCGGAGCCCUGAGGAACAUCGCCAGCGUUUCCGCUCACUCGAGCUGGCUGAGUCCGGCCGGCCCUUCGCGAUGGGCCAACAGCUCCGGGACUCCUGCCGCAAAUGGCUGCUGGCUGAGGGAAGCGACGUGGAGAGGAUUAUCGAUCGAGUGGUACUGGAGCAGUUUAUUACUCGGCUACCGAAGAAGACAGCCGAGUGGGUCCAGUGCCACCGCCCCAUGUCGCGGGUCUCGGCCAUCCAACUCGCAGAGGACCAUAUGGUGGCGUGCCCUGGGGUCGGCGAACCCCUUCCAUCUGCUUCUCUCUCUCCCUCUACAUCUUCUGUCCCUCUCUCUCGUCCUGUCCCUCUCCCCAGGUCGCGGCCACCUGGCUAUCCGCGAGUCCCGACUGGCUGCCACGGGACAGGACCCCACUCCUGCUUCUCCGCUUUCUCCACGCCAAUCAUUUACCCCACUCCCUGCCACUGGAGCGGCAGGGAGGUCUGGACCAGCCUGUUGGUGUUGCGGGGACCCGAAGCAUUUCAUAGAUAAGUGCCUCGUGAUGGAGGUUGGGACAAUGGUCCGGGUCCCGGACGUCCCGCAGGCUGCCCCCGGUCAGGCUGACUGGUACCAAAUACCCUUUUAAGAUGCCACGAGGGUCAACAAUAACAACAUGUGUUGGUUGCAAAGCAGCUAUUGGUGUGGCCACCAAGACCUGCAAAUAUUGCCAAUCAAGUGCAGCCAAGAAAGCAAAGACUGGCAAAAAAACUUCUGAAAUUUGAGGACAGAAAGGAGACGUGGUUAAAAAACAAAAACAAAAACCAAACCACCUCUCAUGUUAUUGAUGAGGCAUCUGUCUUGGUGGAAAAGUUAAACACAUUGGGGUACAAGGCCAUGGUCUUUAUUGGAAAGAAAACCAAAAAGCAGAAAACCUGGUCCGCACCAGUCCUCCAGCCAAAAUGGCAGCUGUCAGACCAUUCUGAAAAAUGCCUUGACAGGAUGAAGGCUCUCUUUGAACUGUUGAUUGUACUAACCAGCAGCCCACCACCACCAGUCCUCCCAUCCAGUCCACCACCAGUUCUCCCAUCCUACCCAUCACUGAACAACCUCAGUAAAAACACGGUAAGUUUGGCUGAUUUUUCCAAAUAGCAUAUAAAUCAUGAUUCAAUUGCUAGUCGUGUUUCUUUUUCAUAUGUUGUUUAAUCAUGGUAUACAUGAUAACCAUGUUAAACAUUUAAUCUGUCUCUCCUUCUUAAACUGAAAUAAUACUACUAAUAAAUUAGUGAUGGGAAGUUCGGUUCUUUUCCACGAACCGGUUCUUUCGGACAGUUCGAUUCAAUAAACCGGUUGAAAAAAACGGUUCACCGGUUCUUUUACGCUCCGACGUAAUGACGUCAUCCGCGAUGACGCCGUCUAACGCGGGCCAGGAUGAAAAAGUGAUUCAAAUAUAUAAGGCUUGUUCGACUUGAUGCAGCGCCGCAAAGACCGAUCGUCGGCUGACUUGAAGCAGUGCAUGCCGGUUAGAAAUUUUGUCUGACUUGAUACAGCGCUGACGCCACGUGACUGUGACGUGUGCCAUCAAAGUACCGCGAGAGCGAUUCGAGAGUAGCCGAAGAACUCAGCCAGCGCAGCUUCUGAAGAGCGGCUGCACAGGUUCUGAUGACGACACAACUGGUCCACGAUUGGCUGGAUACACUGAUGACACCGAUGACGUGCGUUUCAAGUUUAUUGCGACGACUUCAGUUUCAGAAAUUCUCAUAUGGACUUUUAAAACAGUUCAAUAAGUUUUUAUGUCGUCUUCAUCUUAUAAAUCAUAUUUAUUAAAUAUUGUUUUACUGUAUUUACUUUAUUGUUAAUAUAGAGUUUGUGUAUGUUUAUUUUGCAUGACUUUCUUUUUUAUACAGACCUUUUACAGUAUUCAGCAGCAUAACCUAUUCAAAUGAGCAUUUUUAAUAACUAAAAUGUUAAUCUUAAAAACAUGCAAUCUAAUGUGGUCAUAAAUGUAUGCUCCUAUACAAAUGAUACAUAAUACAUUAUGUUCCUCCAUUUGUUUGGUUUCUUCAUAUUCUCUAGUUUAUUUUGCUGUGUUUAUACUUCACCUGCAUGUGGUUAGCAAACUGCUAACAACUUGCUGUAACUUCAACUUAACAACUUGACAACAUUCUGUUCACUUUCAAAUAGUUGGUCUAAAUCACAAUAUAAAUCCAACAGAAUUGUGCUUUUCUGUAUAUGAAAAUCAAUGGUGUUAUGUUUAAAAUGUUAAGAAGAGCUCAGCUGGAGGGUACUGUAAAUCUUGUUGCUGAAACCUUCUUAAAAAACACAUACCCACCAGGGAAUUUUUUUAUAGGUUACUUUUAUCAUUUUGUAUUAGCAGAAACACCUAUGUCAUACUACUAAAGUAUAUAUCCAAUAUGUUAUCUUGUUUUGGAAGACACCCUUCCAAAACACCACUUAUACACACAUCUUAAACGCGCGUUAAUACCAUUAAUACAUAGAGUUACUUAAUCACUAAAUCAUGAAAACAAUGGAAGUCACUGAUACAAAUGUUGAGCCAAAACUGAAAGUGGACUUAAAAUGGUAAUUGCAAUUGUUGCUAACUAUAACUAAUAAUGAAUGGAACAGGUGUUGGCUAUGGUCCCAUGGUUCCUUAGGAUAUAUAAAGAACCUGCAUUACCCUGUGUAACACACAACAAAAUGGACAACGUAACCAUUAAUGUGUUAGACAGCAAAGGCAAUGUUGUCAUGCUAACGGUUUCCAAGGACAUCGCUGAAAGGAUGCAAAAUGGUAAGUAAACCACAUGACUGUGAAAUAAUUACAAGUCACCAAUGAUUUGUGCAAGUGUUUUAUUUAUCAUUUAUUCCCCCAGAUCAAAUGUUCCUUUCCUCUGUCAUGGAGAAAGUAUCAGCUGUUGAAACAAAAGGUACACAUUUACUUAAUGAACAAGAAUAUACAGGAAAUAAUUCUUGAGUGACACUGACCACAUCUACAAUCUUCUCUCCAAACAGCUCUCCUCAGUGGCCCAGCUUGUGCUGCAAAGCUUCUCCAACCUUCUAUUCCAUGUCCCACUACCUCCACUAGGUCGCCGGCACCCCUAAACCUCAGUUUUGUGAAACCACCAUCCACCAGCCAGUGCCCCAUUACUACCACUAGGCCCCCUGUACUACUUACCUCCACUGUCAAGGACCCACCACCUUCCACUCUGCAACCUGGUGCAGUGUGUGGAAACCCUUCAGCAUCCAUUCAACCUUCAUCCCCUUCCUUCCAGUCAGACAGGCAUGAAUCUCAAGAAAUAACACAUACAAUGACACUAUUUCUACUGGACCUUACAAAAACUCAUCAGCACCUUUAUUUUCGGAACAAAAUGGCAUACAAAACUUAUUCUCACUAAAGGGCUACAACUUGUCAAGUGAGAAAAUUCGAAAAAAGCUAGCAAACAUGUUAACUACUUAUAAGAGAGUGAAAGACAGGCGCCGUGCAACUGGGGAAGGGAAGAUCACCUGGGAGUACUAUACAGUAAGUUGAAGACUGCUUUACUUUGUUUCUGAAAUAACAUUGUCAUGUGUUACAAGACUGAAACAUUGGUCAUUUUCAUUUUUCAUCCACCCCCACCAGCUAAUGGAUGAGUUAUUUGAAAAGACAAGAGCAAAUUAUGCAUCUAUUACAGAACCCACAUGAACCCCAAUAAAAUUAUAAUCUAAAGAUGUUAUCUCUUUUGAUUUACACCUUUGCCCAAAAUGUCCUCUGUUUUUUUCCCCCCAAAUAACAAUUUCUAAUGACAAACUAAUUUUGUUCAAUAAAACAAAUUUCUUUAUUUCAACACAAAAUCUGUUUGUGUUUUAUCAUUUUUUGAAUAUUUCUGAACAUUCAAAUCUUUACUUUUCAUCUUUUGUUUUGUAUGUUAACUAUACACAUACAAGUUAGAUCUGGCCACAAAUCUGGUCUCUAUAAUGACAGGCAUGAGUGUUGUGGGGUUGCUGGGGGUAUGGUUCAUCAUCAACACCAUCACCUACCACAACUACUUGAUCACUGGGCUCUAAACAAAGAUUAUGCAAAAUGCAGCAUGCUGAGACUGCUGAACUGAUAUUUGAAAUGCUUCUCAUUUGCAGACACUGGAGCCUCCUAAACUUACAUUUUAGAAUGCCAAAUGCAUGCUCAAUGACCACACGAGCAGUAUUGAGCUUUCUGUUAAAAUAUCUUUGCCUAGCAGACAAGUGGCCAUUGUCUCUAUAAGGCCUCAUAAGUUGAGGCAACAAAGGGUAGGCAGAAUCCCCAAUUAUGUGCAUUCCCUGUGGAACAAGUGAAUGAGGAUCUUCUUCAAGAACACGACAAACUUCUGUGAAGCGAAAUGCUCUGGCAUCAUGCCAACUCCC